rnacentral:rRNA from 1 species
UGCAGUCGAGCGGACCGACGGGAGCUUGCUCCCUUAGGUCAGCGGCGGACGGGUGAGUAACACGUGGGUAACCUGCCUGUAAGACUGGGAUAACUCCGGGAAACCGGGGCUAAUACCGGAUGCUUGAUUGAACCGCAUGGUUCAAUCAUAAAAGGUGGCUUUUAGCUACCACUUGCAGAUGGACCCGCGGCGCAUUAGCUAGUUGGUGAGGUAACGGCUCACCAAGGCGACGAUGCGUAGCCGACCUGAGAGGGUGAUCGGCCACACUGGGACUGAGACACGGCCCAGACUCCUACGGGAGGCAGCAGUAGGGAAUCUUCCGCAAUGGACGAAAGUCUGACGGAGCAACGCCGCGUGAGUGAUGAAGGUUUUCGGAUCGUAAAACUCUGUUGUUAGGGAAGAACAAGUACCGUUCGAAUAGGGCGGCACCUUGACGGUACCUAACCAGAAAGCCACGGCUAACUACGUGCCAGCAGCCGCGGUAAUACGUAGGUGGCAAGCGUUGUCCGGAAUUAUUGGGCGUAAAGCGCGCGCAGGCGGUUUCUUAAGUCUGAUGUGAAAGCCCCCGGCUCAACCGGGGAGGGUCAUUGGAAACUGGGGAACUUGAGUGCAGAAGAGGAGAGUGGAAUUCCACGUGUAGCGGUGAAAUGCGUAGAGAUGUGGAGGAACACCAGUGGCGAAGGCGACUCUCUGGUCUGUAACUGACGCUGAGGCGCGAAAGCGUGGGGAGCGAACAGGAUUAGAUACCCUGGUAGUCCACGCCGUAAACGAUGAGUGCUAAGUGUUAGAGGGUUUCCGCCCUUUAGUGCUGCAGCAAACGCAUUAAGCACUCCGCCUGGGGAGUACGGUCGCAAGACUGAAACUCAAAGGAAUUGACGGGGGCCCGCACAAGCGGUGGAGCAUGUGGUUUAAUUCGAAGCAACGCGAAGAACCUUACCAGGUCUUGACAUCCUCUGACAACCCUAGAGAUAGGGCUUCCCCUUCGGGGGCAGAGUGACAGGUGGUGCAUGGUUGUCGUCAGCUCGUGUCGUGAGAUGUUGGGUUAAGUCCCGCAACGAGCGCAACCCUUGAUCUUAGUUGCCAGCAUUCAGUUGGGCACUCUAAGGUGACUGCCGGUGACAAACCGGAGGAA